CCGACUGUUAUCGUCUGCUACUUUGUCUGUCCGGUUAGGAGAGAAUUCGUCGAUGAUGCAGAACAGGGGAGAAAUAUACAAUUUGAGGACAAGUUUUGCAGCAUAAAGGUGUGGCAUCUGCGCCACGCAGAUGGUCUUUAUUUAUGCAUUGGCGUCAGGAGGUGGAGACGGCAUCAUAAAAUUGUCAGAUAUUUGUAUCUAUAAUCGCAAAAGUUGGCGAUUUUGUUUUGCUUUAACGGGGCCCGUCUCCUGGUUUACGUGUGCGUCAUCGGCAGGAUGAGGCCGGAUUUUUGUAUUUGCUGGUUUGCCUGUCCGGUUUGUAUCUUUCUGUGUGUCCUUGAUUAAUUUUGUAUUCUGUUAUUAUUAAUUUUCCUUUCCACACAGAUUAUCAGGAAAUCAUUGAAGAAACGGUACUGAGGAAAUUUAUACAAUUUGGAGACGGAUUUUAAUUCUUUUUAAUAUGAUGUCAGCUCCGGGAUUGUGAUCCUUUUUAGUGCAGUGGCACCAGGAAGUGGAGACGGCGUUGUAAGAUUGUCAAUUAUUUGUGUUUAUAAUCACGAAAGAUGGCGAUUUUGUUUUUCUUUGCAGGGCUCGUCUUCUCUUGUUGGUUGCGUUGGAUCGCCAGUUGGCUGUGUUUAUUGAGGUUUUAGCGUCUCUUAUGUAGGCGCUCGUCGAUCUGAGAGAAUUUAAGAGUAGUGGAAAGGAUAGAUUCUGCAGCUCCGCGUUAAGUGCCCUGAACUAAGCGUGGGCAGCUUAUAUGGCCCGUCUAUUGCAGCGCAGCACUGCAAGUAGAUUGCAUCGGUGAUAAGGGAUACUAAUCGGGACCGUGUGGCAAGAAUGUUCAGUCAGGAUCAGCUGGAGUGCAUUGUCUUGGGCUUGCUCAUCCGGGUACUUUGAGAUGAGUUUGGCUGCGUCGAGGAAAGUGAUGACAGUGGAGGAGUUUGUUUUAGCUUUGUAGGUGGAGGUACGGAGACAGAAUGAAUUCUGUUCCGCAUCCACAACUUUAUUUUGCCUUUGAUUACAAUAAAUGCAAUAUGUAGGUACAAUAAUUUGAAUUUUUGAGUUUAACAUAGCUUGGGGUGAGUUUGGGGCUUGGACAUAGUUUGUUAGUAUUAAUUUUAAGUUAGUAUUUUGUAGGCAUGGAUUUUAGACAAUGACAUGAAUGGUAACAUUAUCAGCUUGCAUGUUUUGUUUACAUUUUUAAAAUGAAAUU